UAUCGAACGUGUCGCGAUUUUUUUUUAUGGUCGUAGGUGGUCUUGCACGUGCCACAUUGACGAGGAGGUGGGAGCCGAUGAUAGCGAUAGCGCUCGUCGGGCAUAUUGUUCGGUUAAAUGUUCCACUCGAUACUGAUGAUCGGCGGUGCUCGUUUCAGUUUUUACCGGUGUAAGGUGAAAGGGUUGUGGAACAAUAAAUAUGGAAGACACAUUGAAAGGUUGGGGACUUCCGGAGUCCGUUAGAAAAGUAUUGAAAGGAUACGGCAAACAGGUCGUAUGGGGUGGAAAAAAUUCGUCAGAUAAUGUGACGCGGUGGCAACUGCGAACGAGGAUAAACACAGACAGGAAGAUGCCACGCCACCACACACGUGUCGCGGCUUCUCUCUCGCAUCUGUCGCGGUUAUUCUCACCUUUCGUCCCGAUUCGGAUCGAACAGCGAUUUCCUGCUUCGCACCCGCCCACGACUAUUAUAAAAAUCUGCGAAGUUUCUGAAACGUUUCGAUUUUGGCACACCACGAGCCAAAGGAUAUUUUUACAAUUUGAUCCCACGAAAAUGUCCGUCCGUAUGCGAAUUGGGGCGUCAAAAUGGUUGACAAAUGGACGACAAUUAUUAUAAAGUGAGGAUACACCCUGUAUAAAGUGUGUGCGCGAAUGUUUGUGCCA